UACGAAGGGUGCAAGCGUUACUCGGAAUCAUUGGGCGUAAAGAGCGUGUAGGCGGCUUGUUAAGUCUUGCGUGAAAUCUCGGGGCUCAACCCCGAGCGGUCGUGAGAAACUGGCAGGCUAGAGUGCGGGAGAGGAGAGUGGAAUUCCUGGUGUAGCGGUGAAAUGCGCAGAUAUCAGGAAGAACACCCGUGGCGAAGGCGGCUCUCUGGAACGCAACUGACGCUGAGACGCGAAAGCGUGGGGAGCAAACAGG
rnacentral:rRNA from 1 species